GUUUCUCUUUGGGUAGGAAUCUCUGCCCUAUACCUUACGAUUUCUUACAUUUGUAAGAGGGUGUCCUGUAUACCUGGCAACUCUGGACAGGCAAGUUUUGUUUAAGCCAGCAGGAAGCUCUGAAUGCCUUCAACUGACAUUUGGAUUCAGUGUCACUGCCAUAAUUAACCCAAGAAAAACAUGCAUCUGGAAGUGAAGGGGAAGAGUUCUGCUGACCAAGGUGCAGUAUGGCCUCUUGAAGCGGCCGAAGUGGUGACAACAGUGCAGUCCAUGAGUCCAGCUCCAAAGAGAACAUGCAGACUGACAUUUUAGAUCCAAUGGCCACAGAGCACUGAUGUCUGCACAAGGAGAAGCCAACGCUGUUGCUCCUGUGGUGUUUAGCUAAUUGUCCAGCAACUGCUCUGUACAAAAGCUAUGAGAGAGGAGUUCCCUCCUGCACUGAAAGAAUAGCUCAACAUCUGUCAUUCCAUUCUCUUUGAUGGCCCAAAAUCAGGAAGACUACAGCUGUCUUCUUCCUUUCAGAUACUUCUUGGACAGAGAGAGACACAUUGGGACACCUCCUCUACACAGUGACAAGCCACAGUCUUGAGGACUUCAAGCAACUCUGUGCUCAACCUAUUGCAAAAAGGGCAAGAACACCGGCAUU